rnacentral:rRNA from 1 species
GACGAACGCUGGCGGCGUGCUCAACACAUGCAAGUCGAACGGUGAAGCUCCAGCUUGCUGGAGUGGAUCAGUGGCGAACGGGUGAGUAACACGUGAGCAACCUGCCCCUGACUCUGGAAUAAGCGCUGGAAACGGCGUCUAAUACUGGAUACGAGAAGGGUCCGCAUGGGCACUUUCUGGAAAGUUUUUCGGUUGGGGAUGGGCUCGCGGCCUAUCAGCUUGUUGGUGAGGUAAUGGCUCACCAAGGCGACGACGGGUAGCCGGCCUGAGAGGGCGACCGGCCACACUGGGACUGAGACACGGCCCAGACUCCUACGGGAGGCAGCAGUGGGGAAUAUUGCACAAUGGGCGAAAGCCUGAUGCAGCGACGCCGCGUGCGGGAUGACGGCCUUCGGGUUGUAAACCUCUUUCAGCAGGGAAGAAGCGAAAGUGACGGUACCUGCAGAAGAAGCACCGGCUAACUACGUG